rnacentral:rRNA from 1 species
AUCAACUUUCGAUGGUAGGAUAGAGGCCUGCCAUGGUGGUAACGGGUAACGGGGUGUUAGGGCACGACACCGGAGAGGGAGCCUGAGAAACGGCUACCACAUCCAAGGAUGGCAGCAGGCGCGCAAAUUACCCAAUCCCGACACGGGGAGGUAGUGACAAUAAAUAACAAUACGGGGUUCUUUCGGAUUUCGUAAUUGGAAUGAGUACAAUUUAAAUCUCUUAACGAGGAACAAUUGGAGGGCAAGUCUGGUGCCAGCAGCCGCGGUAAUUCCAGCUCCAAUAGCGUAUAUUAAAGUUGUUGCAGUUAAAAAGCUCGUAGUUGAAUUUCGGGAUCGACGGGUCGGUCGCGCCUCUGGUGUGUACUGGCCCUGUCGGUUUCUCCCUUCUGACGAACCACGAUGUCAUUAAUUUGGUGUCGUGGGAAAUCAGGACUGUUACUUUGAAAAAAUUAGAGUGUUUAAAGCAGGCAUUCGUCUGAAUACAUUAGCAUGGAAUAAUGAAAUAGGACGUUUGAUCCUAUUUUGUUGGUUUCUAGGAGCAUCGUAAUGAUUAAUAGGGAUAGUUGGGGGCAUUAGUAUUCAAUUGUCAGAGGUGAAAUUCUUGGAUUUAUUGAAGACUAACUACUGCGAAAGCAUUUGCCAAGGAUGUUUUCAUUAAUCAAGAACGAAAGUUAGGGGAUCGAAGACGAUCAGAUACCGUCGUAGUCUUAACCAUAAACUAUGCCGACUAGGGAUCGGGCGAUGUUGUUUCAAUGACUCGCUCGGCACCUUAUGGGAAACCAAAGUGUUUGGGUUC